AUUGAACGCUGGCGGCAGGCCUAACACAUGCAAGUCGAGCGGAUGAAGGGAGCUUGCUCCUGGAUUCAGCGGCGGACGGGUGAGUAAUGCAUAGGAAUAUGCCUGGCAGUGGGGGAUAACGUCCGGAAACGGGCGCUAAUAACGCAUACGACCAGAGGGAGAAAGUGGGGGAUCUUUGGACCUCACGCUAUCUGAUGAGCCUAGGUCGGAUUUGCUAGUUGGUGGGGUAAAGGCCUACCAAGGCGACGAUCCGUAACUGGUCUGAGAGGAUGAUCAGUCACACUGGAACUGAGACACGGUCCAGACUCCUACGGGAGGCAGCAGUGGGGAAUAUUGGGCAAUGGGCGAAAGCCUGAUCCAGCCAUGCCGCGUGUGUGAAGAAGGUCUUCGGAUUGUAAAGCACUUUAAGUUGGGAGGAAGAGCAGUAAGUUAAUACCUUGCUGUUUUGACGGUACCAACAGAAUAAGCACCGGCUAACUUCGUG
rnacentral:rRNA from 1 species